rnacentral:rRNA from 1 species
UGGGGAAUAUUGGACAAUGGGGGGAACCCUGAUCCAGCCAUGCCGCGUGUGUGAAGAAGGCCUUAUGGUUGUAAAGCACUUUAGGCGAGGAGGAGGGUACUGGUAUUAAUACUACCAGGUACUGGACGUUACUCGCAGAAUAAGCACCGGCUAACUCUGUGCCAGCAGCCGCGGUAAUACAGAGGGUGCGAGCGUUAAUCGGAUUUACUGGGCGUAAAGCGUGCGUAGGCGGCUAAUUGAGUCGGAUGUGAAAUCCCCGAGCUUAACUUGGGAAUUGCAUUCGAUACUGGUUAGCUAGAGUGUGGGAGAGGAUGGUAGAAUUCCAGGUGUAGCGGUGAAAUGCGUAGAGAUCUGGAGGAAUACCGAUGGCGAAGGCAGCCAUCUGGCCUAACACUGACGCUGAGGUACGAAAGCAUGGGGAGCAAACAGG